GUGGGGAAUAUUGGACAAUGGGCGAAAGCCUGAUCCAGCCAUGCCGCGUGUGUGAAGAAGGUCUUCGGAUUGUAAAGCACUUUAAGUUGGGAGGAAGGGCAGUAAGUUAAUACCUUGCUGUUUUGACGUUACCGACAGAAUAAGCACCGGCUAACUUCGUGCCAGCAGCCGCGGUAAUACGAAGGGUGCAAGCGUUAAUCGGAAUUACUGGGCGUAAAGCGCGCGGAGGUGGUUUUGUAAGUUGGAGGUGAAAUCCCCGGGCUCAACCUGGGAACUGCCUCAAAAACUGCAUGACUGGAGUACGGGAGAGGGUAGUGGAAUUUCCUGUGUGGCGGUGAAAUGCGUAGAUAUAGGAAGGAACUCCAGUGGCGAAGGCGACUACCUGGACUGAUACUGACACUGAGGUGCGAAAGCGUGGGGAGCAAACAGGAUUAGAAACCCUUGUAGUCC
rnacentral:rRNA from 1 species